GGAGGUCGGCGGCGGACGGGCGCCUCGCCAACCUGGUCAGGACCGGAAGGUAGCAGCCACAACGGGUUUCCGCUCGGGUCGUUUGUUCGGCCUCCCAC
rfam:Rhodospirillales bacterium 70-18 SCNpilot_cont_750_bf_scaffold_72, whole genome shotgun sequence.